GAGUGCGCCAGGCGCGGGGAGCCUAGGACCUGGAGCGAGAGCCGCCUACCUGCAGCCGCCGCCCACGGCACGGCAGCCACCGUGGCGCUCCUGCUGCGCUUCGUGCUCCUGUGCAGAGUCGCGGAUUUCAUCAGAGGUUGGAGUAUCACUACUCCUGAGCAGAUGAUUGAAAAAGCCAAAGGGGAAACUGCCUAUCUGCCAUGCAAAUUUACGCUUAGUCCUGAAGACCAGGGACCACUGGACAUCGAGUGGCUGAUAUCACCAGCUGAUAAUCAGAAGGUGGAUCAAGUGAUUAUUUUAUAUUCUGGAGACAAAAAUUAUGAUGACUACUAUCCAGAUCUGAAAGGCCGAGUACAUUUUAAGAGUAAUGAUCUCAAAUCUGGUGAUGCAUCAAUAAAUGUAACGAAUUUUCAGCUGUCAGAUAUUGGCACAGAUCAGUGCAAAGUGAAAAGAGCUCCUGGUGUUGCAAAUAGGAAGAUUCAGCUGGUAGUUCUUGGUAAGCCUUCAGGUACAAGAUGUUACGUUGAUGGAUCAGAAGAAAUUGGAAGUGACUUUAAAUUAAAAUGUGAACCAAAAGAAGGUUCACUUCCAUUACAGUAUGAGUGGCAAAAAUUGUCUGACUCACAGAAAAUGCCCACUUCAUGGUUAGCAGAAAUGACUUCAUCUGUUAUAUCUGUAAAAAUGCUUCUUCUGAGUACUCUGGGACAUACAGCUGUACAUCAGAAACAGAGUGGGCUCUGAUCAGUGCCUGUUGCGUGUAAACGUUGUCCCUCCUUCAAAUAAAGCUGGACUAAUUGCAGGAGCCAUUAUAGGAACUUUGCUUGCUCUAGUGCUCAUUGGUCUUAUCAUCUUUUGCUGUCGUAAAAAGCGCAGAGAAGAAAAAUAUGAAAAGGAAGUUCAUCACGAUAUCAAGGAAGAUGUGCCGCCUCCAAAGAGCCACACGUCCACUGCCAGAAGCUACAUAGGCAGUAAUCAUUCAUCCCUGGGAUCCAUAUCUCCUUCCAACAUGGAAGGAUAUUCCAAGACUCAGUAUAAACAAGUACCAAGUGAAGACUUUGAACGCACUCCUCAGAGUCCGACUCUCCCACCUGCUAAGGUAGCUGCCCCUAAUCUAAGUCGAAUGGGCGCGAUUCCUGUGAUGAUUCCCGCACAGAGCAAGGAUGGGUCUAUAGUAUAGAGCCUCCAUACAUCUCAUCUGUGCUCUCCGUGUUCCUUUCCUUUUUUUGAUAUAUGAAAACCUAUUCUGGUCUAAAUUUUGUUACUAGCCUCAGAAUGUAUCAGAAAAUAAGUUAAUCAGGAGCUGUAAGGAAUAUAUUUUUAAAAAUUUUUGUUUGGUUAUAUCGAAAUAGUUACGGGCAUUAAAGUUAGUAAAGACAAGUUUACCAUCUGAAAAGGCUGGAUUUUCUUUAAGAGGCUGAUUAUAAAGGUUUCUAAAUGUUAUCAGUACCUAAGUAAGAUGUAGCACUUUGAGUAUGAAAUCAUAGGUGAAGAAAUCGGUGAACUUACUUGCAUACCAAGUUGAUACUUGAGUAACCAUCUGAAAGUGGUACUUGAUAAUUUUUACCAUUAUUUUUAGGAUGUGUAUCUCAUUUAUUUAUGGCCCACAAGUCUCCCCCAAAUUAGUACAGAAACAUCCCUGACAAAAUUACUUAUGUACGUUUGUACUUGUUUUCACAGCUCCUCGGAAAACUCUGUGUUAGGAAUAUCUCUAAAAACAUAGAAAACACUACAGUGAUUUAGAAAUUACUAAUUUUACUUCUAAGUCAUUCAUAAACCUUGCCUAUGAAAUGACUUCUUAAAUAUUUAGUUGAUAGACUGCUACAGGUAAUAGGGACUUAGCAAGCUCUUUUAUAUGCUAAAGGAGCAUCUAUCAGAUUAAGUUAGAACAUUUGCUGUCUGCCACAUAUUGAGAUGGCACUAGGUGCAAUAGCAGGGAUAGAUUUUGUUGGUGAGAGGUCUCAUGCCUUGAGAUCUGUGGUGGUCUUUAAAAUGGUGGCCAGCCAGACCAAGGAUGUAGUAUCUCAUAGUCCCCAACUAAAUGCUGGCUUUCCACUUUAGGUGAUAUUUUUCUAAUUAGAAAAAUAUUAUAACUCACUUAUUGUUUGACAAUUAUAGAUUGAAAUUUCCUAAUUCUAAAUUUUAAGUGGCUCUUCGGUUUCAGUGCUCUAUGUUGUUUGUUGUUGGUUUUGGAUGGCAUUACAUAUUAUAUGUUCUAGAAACAUGUAAUCCUAAAUUUACCCUCUUGAAUAUGAUCCCUGGAUGAUAUUUUUAUCAUAAAUGCAGAAUAAUCAAAUACAUUUUAAGCAAGUAAGUGUCCUCCAUCAAUUCCGUAUUCCAGACUUGGGAGGAUGUACAGUUGCUGUUGUGUGAUCAAACAUGUCUCUGUGUAGUUCCAGCAAAUCAAGCUGAGCUUCAAAAAAGUUUGAGUCUCAGUUUUGUGAAAGUGAUUUAUUCUUAAAAAAAAAAAAAAAAGAAA